rnacentral:rRNA from 1 species
CGCGCAUAGGUACAUUAUUGAAUACGANUGGUACUGAUGCUGGCCCUUCACUGGGCAUGUGCUCGUCCAUCUAUUUAUCUUCUCUUGUGCACAUCUUGUAGUCUUGGAUGAACCCUUGCGCAUUCGUGCGGUCUGGGAGUUGCGAAUUAAACCUCGCUUCUCCUGCUUGUCCAAGGCUAUGUUUUCAUAUACACUAUAAAGUUACAGAAUGUCUAUUAACGACUUGUGCUUGUCACGGUCAUUAAACCUAUACAACUUUCAGCAACGGAUCUCUUGGCUCUCCUAUCGAUGAAGAACGCAGCGAAAUGCGAUAAGUAAUGUGAAUUGCAGAAUUCAGUGAAUCAUCGAAUCUUUGAACGCACCUUGCGCCCUUUGGUAUUCCGAAGGGCAUGCCUGUUUGAGUGUCAUUAAAUUAUCAACCUUGCUCGCUUUUUACCGGCUUGAGUUAGGCUUGGAUGUGAGGGUCUUUUGCUGGCUUCCUUCAGUGGAUGGUCUGCUCCCUUAAAUGCAUUAGUGGGAUCUCUUGGGGACCGUCACUUGGUGUGAUAAUUAUCUAUGCCAUCUUGACUUUGAAGCAAACUUAUGGGAACCU